rnacentral:tRNA from 1 species
GCUUUCGUAGUCUAGCGGUCAGCACGCUCGACGCGUAACCUAGAGGUCCUAGGUUCGAUUCCCGGCGAAGGCG